rnacentral:rRNA from 1 species
UACGUAGGGUGCGAGCGUUAAUCGGAAUUACUGGGCGUAAAGCGUGCGCAGGCGGUUUUGUAAGACAGAGGUGAAAUCCCCGGGCUUAACCUGGGAACUGCAUUUGUGACUGCAAGGCUGGAGUGCGGCAGAGGGGGAUGGAAUUCCGCGUGUAGCAGUGAAAUGCGUAGAUAUGCGGAGGAACACCGAUGGCGAAGGCAAUCCCCUGGGCCUGCACUGACGCUCAUGCACGAAAGCGUGGGGAGCAAACAGG